rnacentral:rRNA from 1 species
GAUGAACGCUGGCGGCGUGCCUAAUACAUGCAAGUCGAGCGAACGGACGAGAAGCUUGCUUCUCUGAUGUUAGCGGCGGACGGGUGAGUAACACGUGGAUAACCUACCUAUAAGACUGGGAUAACUUCGGGAAACCGUAGCUAAUACCGGAUAAUAUUUUGAACCGCAUGGUUCAAAAGUGAAAGACGGUCUUGCUGUCACUUAUAGAUGGAUCCGCGCUGCAUUAGCUAGUUGGUAAGGUAACGGCUUACCAAGGCAACGAUGCAUAGCCGACCUGAGAGGGGGCGCGGGCCACCUGGGAAGAGACACCCGGCCCAGACCCUUCCGUGGGGAAGCGUUGGGGCAUUUUCGGAAAGGGGCAAAGCCUGGAGGAGCCACGCCGGCGGGGGUGAUAAGGUUUUCCGGUUAUAAAACCUUUGUUAUAAGUAAAAAAAAAAUGGGAAAGAACUUUGCCACAUCUUGCCGUUCCUAAACCAGAAGGCAACGCCUACCUCCGUC